rnacentral:rRNA from 1 species
CCUACGGGGGGCUGCAGUGGGGAAUCUUCCGCAAUGGACGAAAGUCUGACGGAGCAACGCCGCGUGAGUGAAGAAGGUUUUCGGAUCGUAAAGCUCUUUCGUCAGGGACGAACGUAUUUCUUGUAAAUAAUGAGAGAUAGUGACGGUACCUGAAUAAGAAGCCACGGCUAACUACGUGCCAGCAGCCGCGGUAAUACGUAGGUGGCAAGCGUUGUCCGGAAUUAUUGGGCGUAAAGCGCGCGCAGGCGGGAUAUCAAGUCUGUCUUAAAAGUGCGAGGCUCAACCUCGUGAGGGGACAGAAACUGGUAUUCUUGAGUGUCGGAGAGGAAAGUGGAAUUCCAAGUGUAGCGGUGAAAUGCGUAGAGAUUUGGAAGAACACCAGUGGCGAAGGCGACUUUCUGGACGAUGUCUGACGCUGAGGCGCGAAAGCUAGGGGAGCGAACGGGCUUAGAUACCCCAGUAGUC